UUUGGAUUACCAUGAUGACUAAGCCGGGAAAAUUGUCCGACUUUAAAAGCUAAGCUGCUGUCUUAUCCUUAUGAUCUGAGAUAGGGGAAUCCCGAAACACCUUAUUGUUGUCCCACAGCUCCAAAAGUAUGAAACAGCUUUUAGUAAUGUCUGGCACUAUUCAUGGAUUCAUACUUGCAGCCACUGGCCUUCAUAUCAUUCGGAGAAAGAUUCAGUAUGGAACAGAUUUUUCAGACAGCAAAUCUGCCCUAAAGGCUACAUCCACCUUUUCAACCAAUUGCUUCAAUAUUUCUAAA